CUGGGACGAGGAUUUUGCUUUCAGAGGAAGAAGCAAGAGAAGGGAACACGUGAGAUUGUGCAGCGUUGUGUCCGUGAACUUCCAGAGUUUGCAUUAAAAAGUGACAGAACAUCAGAGUGCCAGAAGCUCCUCAUAUUGUGGCCCUGACGGUGCCCUGAUAAUAAGUGCCAAGCAGUUACUCUGAGUUGCUCAAGAAACGCUUUGGGGAGAAAGCACUGCAAAGUAGAAGGUGGAAGCACUGCAGGUAGCAGCAAAUACCUC